rnacentral:rRNA from 1 species
CCUACGGGUGGCAGCAGUAGGGAAUCUUCCACAAUGGGCGAAAGCCUGAUGGAGCAACGCCGCGUGGGUGAAGAAGGUCUUCGGAUCGUAAAACCCUGUUGUUAGAGAAGAAAGUGCGUGAGAGUAACUGUUCACGUUUCGACGGUAUCUAACCAGAAAGCCACGGCUAACUACGUGCCAGCAGCCGCGGUAAUACGUAGGUGGCAAGCGUUAUCCGGUUUUAUUGGGCGUAAAGGGAACGCAGGCGGUCUUUUAAGUCUGAUGUGAAAGCCUUCGGCUUAACCGGAGUAGUGAGUUGGAUACUGGGAGACUUGAGAGCAGAAGAGGAGAGUGGAA